ACACUGCUGUGGAGUCCGACAAUAGGACGAAACGGUCGUCCAGUAC
rnacentral:hammerhead_ribozyme from 1 species